rnacentral:rRNA from 1 species
AUUGAACGCUGGCGGCAGGCCUAACACAUGCAAGUCGAGCGGAUGAAGGGAGCUUGCUCCUGGAUUCAGCGGCGGACGGGUGAGUAAUGCCUAGGAAUCUGCCUGGUAGUGGGGGAUAACGUCCGGAAACGGGCGCUAAUACCGCAUACGUCCUGAGGGAGAAAGUGGGGGAUCUUCGGACCUCACGCUAUCAGAUGAGCCUAGGUCGGAUUAGCUAGUUGGUGGGGUAAAGGCCUACCAAGGCGACGAUCCGUAACUGGUCUGAGAGGAUGAUCAGUCACACUGGAACUGAGACACGGUCCAGACUCCUACGGGAGGCAGCAGUGGGGAAUAUUGGACAAUGGGCGAAAGCCUGAUCCAGCCAUGCCGCGUGUGUGAAGAAGGUCUUCGGAUUGUAAAGCACUUUAAGUUGGGAGGAAGGGCAGUAAGUUAAAACCUUGCUGUUUUGACGGUACCAACAGAAAAAGCACCGGCUAACUUCGUG